GACGAACGCUGGCGGCGUGCCUAACACAUGCAAGUCGAGCGGAGAUCAUAGAAAUGUGAUCUUAGCGGCGGACGGGUGAGUAACGCGUGGGCAACCUGCCUUUAUCAGGGGGAUAACAUAGGGAAACUUGUGCUAAUACAGCAUAAAAUCAUGAAAGGACGUCAUUUUAUGAUCAAAGGAGUUAUCCGGAUAGAGAUGGGACCGUGUCCGAUUAGCUAGUUGGUGGUGUAACGGACCACCAAGGCGACGAUCGGUAGCCGAACUGAGAGGUUGAGCGGCCACAUUGGGACUGAGACACGGCCCAGACUCCUACGGGAGACAGCAGUGGGGAAUAUUGCGCAAUGGGGGAAACCCUGACGCAGCAACGCCGCGUGAAGGAUGAAGGUUUUCGGAUCGUAAACUUCUUUGAUGAGGGACGAAUAAAUGACGGUACCUCAAAAACAAGCCACGGCUAACUACGUGCCAGCCGCCGCGGUAA
rnacentral:rRNA from 1 species